AACGCACAUUGCGCCCUCUGGUAUUCCGGGGGGCAUGCCUGUUCGAGCGUCAUUAUAACCACUCAAGCUCUCGCUUGGUAUUGGAGUUCGCGGUUUCGCGGCCCCUAAAAUCAGUGGCGGUGCCUGUCGGCUCUACGCGUAGUAAUACUCCUCGCGAUUGAGUCCGGUAGGUCUACUUGCCAGCAACUCCCAAUUUUUACAGGUUGACCUCGGAUCAGGUAGGGAUACCCGCUGAACUUAA
rnacentral:misc_RNA from 1 species